GUUCGAAGUUGGAGCAACUUGUGCAUAAAAAUUGGACUAUGAUUUAGCUACUUUAAUUUAGCUAAUAAAGGAAUAAAGAUCGACCUUUUCUGCCGUAAAGGUCAACCUUAAAAUAUUAUCAAAUUGUAUACUGGUAUCCCAAAAAACACCGGACUCUGUUUGAUCUAAUGUCACGUAAAAGCUAUAAAAGCUAUCGCAGAUUCGCAAUGAAAUAAAGAUCAUUGCAUUCAUAAUGGCUAACUUAGAUUUUGAUUAGCAAUUUAUAAUCACGAACGUGUCAUUUUAAAAAUGAGCUCAUGGCUGGUUUACAAGACGUUUAUGAUAAUUAUACAUACGCAGGUAUUUUAUUGAAGUUCAAUUCAUCAACUUAAGUCCUAAAGAGUAAAGGGAGUUAAUCAGUUUCACUAAUAGUUUUAGACCCAAUUCUCAACGGUGGAAAUAUGCACUUUCACAUUAUAUGGUUGUUACAACUAUUCAAGUCUUCAUUAUAUAGAACGAUUUCAUUAGACUGCACACAUUUAAAAACAAAAUGGUCGCAAAAUGUCGAUCGCCCCACAAGUUGCGAAAUGCAAAUCUACCUUAAAAUACCGGGUGUCCCCCCAAAAAACUGGACACUAUUUGAUUUCAUGUAACGUAAAAGCUAUAAAAGCGAUAAUGCAUUCAGAAAUGACUAACUUCGAUUUUGAUAUAUAGCACUUGAAUUUACAUGCAAUAUUGACUGCGCUAUUGAUGUUUGAACGUUGAACUACUGUUUUUGAAAAUGCAAAAAAUGAGCAUAAAACAACACUUAUAAUUAUAACUACUGAUGUAGUUAUAAUUGUUAAUUUUU